rnacentral:misc_RNA from 1 species
UGCUUCUUGAUUCCUGUAAGAUCACCUAAAGCUCGAGCUGGAUUGUGAUGAACACAUGAAGGUUCGGGGCAAACAUAAACCCUUUUCUUGAUUUCUGUGCUUGUUCUUUGCCUAAGCUUCCAUGGUAGGUUAUGUCCUCGCCUGUGUAAUUGGAGAUUUUGCUCUCUUUGGAAACCUUUGUUGCAGAUUUCACACACAAAUCUGUUUGUAGCUACCAGAGUAUUUGGUGAUAAAGCUAUAACUUCUGCACUAGGGUCUGGGUUUCCUGGUAAGUUUCUCUUCUUCUUAAAAACUGUUAUAGGUUGGUGUUGUUGAGUAGUGGAUCCAUUAGUGGUGGUGGUGGUAGUAGUCGUUGUAGUGCUUGAAGCUAUGGAGUUUAAGUGAUUAAGAAGCUCUUGUUGUUGAACUUCUACAUCUCCAACAGCAGCAGUAUUCCCAGAAGAGAAGCUCCCACCUUCACCUGUGAUAUUUGACAUUGAAGGAAGGAAAAAAAAAAGAAGAUAAAAAAGUGAAAACCCUUUUGUCUUUCUUUUCUUUAAUUCCCUGAAAUUCUUUCACACCAAACUCUCUUGUUUCUUUCUUGAUUUUGCUUCUUGAUUCUCUUUGAAUUGAAAGAGAUGUUGCUUACAGGUGAUAAGAAAACAAAAACAAGGAAGUUUUGGGG